rnacentral:rRNA from 1 species
GUGUCAGCAGCCGCGGUAAUACGGAGGGGACUAGCGUUGUUCGGAAUUACUGGGCGUAAAGCGCGCGUAGGCGGAUUUGCAAGUCGGGGGUGAAAUCCCGAGGCUCAACCUCGGAACUGCCUUCGAUACUGCAAAUCUCGAGUCCGGAAGAGGUGAGUGGAAUUCCUAGUGUAGAGGUGAAAUUCGUAGAUAUUAGGAAGAACACCAGUGGCGAAGGCGGCUCACUGGUCCGGUACUGACGCUGAGGCGCGAAAGCGUGGGGAGCAAACAGGAUUAGAUACCCCAGUAGUCC